CGUCUCCCGGAGCACUAACCAGGAAAUGUGAGCGGGGCUGAUGGAAGCUGAUAGGCAGGACUGGAGUGUGAGCCACAGCACUGGAUGUGACAGCAGCGGGCAGAGGAGCACUUAGCAGCUUAUUCAGUGUCCGAUUCGGAUUCCGGCAAAGAUCCAAGUAUGGAAUGCUGCCGUCGGGCAGCUCCUGGCACACCGCUGCUCUUUCUGGCUUUCCUACUCCUGAGUUCCAGGACUGCACGCUCAGAGGAAGACCGUGAAGGCCUCUGGGAUGCCUGGGGCCCUUGGAGUGAGUGUUCCCGCACCUGUGGCGGAGGUGCCUCCUAUUCCCUGAGACGCUGCCUGAGCAGCAAGAGCUGUGAAGGAAGAAAUAUUCGAUACAGAACAUGCAGUAAUGUGGACUGCCCACCAGAAGCAGGUGAUUUCCGAGCUCAACAGUGUUCUGCUCAUAAUGAUGUCAAGUACCAUGGCCAGUUUUAUGAAUGGCUUCCUGUAU
rnacentral:lncRNA from 1 species